AGCAGCUGGUUAAGUCUAGUAAACAGGAUUGGAGCAGCCAGGCAGAGACGUGACAGACUGGUCAGCUGGACGUAAGGAAAAGCUGAGUCGCUCCCUCUCCCUCUCACUAAGUGGAUUUAACCCAUCAGCGAAUGGGUGAGGAGACGAGGGAUAAAAAUGCCGUGGAAACCUGGCUGAGCUAAUUCCAGCCCACCUUGGGGUUGGAGCUGACAGUGACACUGCAUGAACUUAUUGCAGUGACUGAAAGGUCUGACUGGAGUGUGACUGUGAUAAUAAAGGACUCAGGCACACAGCGUUAUAGUUGCAAUCUGUUUCUACAGCAGCUUUCCAGCUGCUCUCCUCCAGCUCCACACCACACUCUCUGCUCUGAUCCCAGCGACGUACUCAAAAGGGGAAACAUGAUCAGAUGAUGGAGGUCAGGUGUAUUGAGUCAGCCUCCUCUGACACCACAGCCUGAACCAACUGCUCCACCCCUUCCCUGGUAGCUGAGCCACAAACCACACUGUGCCACAGUGACGGUUAACUUUAGUAAUAACAAAACAAUUGAUGGUG
ensembl:lncRNA